rnacentral:rRNA from 1 species
CAGUCGCCACGGUAAUACAGAGGGUGCGAGCGUUAAUCGGAUUUACUGGGCGUAAAGCGUGCGUAGUCGGCUUUUUAAGUCGGAUGUGAAAUCCCUGAGCUUAACUUAGGAAUUGCAUUCGAUACUGGGAAGCUAGAGUAUGGGAGAGGAUGGUAGAAUUCCAGGUGUAGCGGUGAAAUGCGUAGAGAUCUGGAGGAAUACCGAUGGCGAAGGCAGCCAUCUGGCCUAAUACUGACGCUGAGGUACGAAAGCAUGGGGAGCAAACAGGAUUAGAUACCCCAGUAGUCCCUGUCUCUUAUAA